GGGGUUUGAUCUACAGAAUAUACUUGUAGAAUUAAUGAAUGCAUGAAGAAAGCUUUAAAAGGAGAACAAGAGUAAAACCUGAAGACAGUUCAGGGAACAGAAGUUUAAAGAAUGUUAAAGUGGUGCUACUGGCAUCUAGUGGGGAGAGGACAGGAUGCUGCUAAAUAUGCUGCAAUGAACUGGACCACUCCCUCCCCAACACAUCAAUGAAGAAUCAUCCAGUUCAAUAUUCCAACAGUGCUGAGGUUGAGAAACCCAUGCUGAAUGGGUCUACUGAUGUUGGCUUCAGUCAAAUGUGAUUGUUUCACCUUGUGCCUUCCUCUCCUUGCAAUGCCUUAACAAUCAUCUAUGAUUUAGAAUCUGUAACACAUAGUCUAGAAUGAACUCAGAAGCUGAUGCUCCAAUGGUAAUACAAUAAAUUGUAAUUUUGUUUACACUCCAUUAUUAACUUGAUUCAUUUGGAUUAAUUUUAUAGUCUAUAUAGAACUGGAAGAUUUUUGUAUGAUUGUUGGUUUCUAGUUUAGUAGUUAGUCCAAUCAUGUGAUAUAAUUUCUUCUUCCUCUCCUGGCAAACAAGAGCAAAUGAUGGAAAUUUGGGAAUUGAUGCUUCCAUUUUCAACAUUAGAAGAAAUUACUGACAGACAUGGAGAUAUGCCUUCAGGACUCUCUCUGUGGGUGCAAGGAUUGGGUUGAAUGAGAUCUCAGAAAUGUAGAAUGGCAGAUGCCAAACUUUUAUAUAAGCAUUGAUAUUUUUGUGUAUGUCAAGUUUUACAAUAAGCUUAUAUUUUAGUGCUUUUGCCAACAUCAUAUCUGCUUUGUUACUUUCAGCCCAAUAUGUAAUAAUUAACUGCUUAUGUGUUUGCCUCUUCCUUUUACCUUGAGUUCCUUGAUAGCAAGAACUCCACAUCUUAUUUUCUGGCUUGGCAUGGUGCCUGUGACUUAUCAGUUGCAGUUUCAAACAGUGAAUUUUAAAUCCAUUGUAACGAGGUUCAGAUACAUCUUUAUUAAUCAAAAUAGGAACCAUUACAAUCAACAUAUUUUUGCCAAAAAGAAAUGUUUGUUUAUUCCUGUAGCAUAAAAAUCAGAAUUUGACAAACUCUUGGAAAGCAUUUUCUGCCUCCUGCUGGCUGUGGAAGCAUUUUCCCUAUAAAAACUUGUCAAGAUAUUUGAAGAAGUGCUAGUUGGUCAGCAAGAACUCAGGUCAGUAUGAUGGGUGAGGCAAAACUUCAUAGCCCAGUUCAUUCAUUUUGAAGCAUUGAUUGUGCUACGUGCAGUCAGGUGCUGUCAUGGAGAAGAAACAGGCCCAUUCUGUUGACUAAUGCUGGCUGCAGGCAUUGCAGUUUUAGGUACAUCACAUCGGUUUGCUGAGCAUACAUCUCAGAUGCAAUGGUUUUGCUGGGAUUCAUAAAGCUGUAGUGAAUCAGACAGGCAGGAAACCACUAAAGAGUGACUGUGACUUUUGUGGUGCAAGUUUGGCUUUGGGAAGUGCUUUGGAGCUUCUUUUCCAUCUAACCACUGAGCUGGUUGUCAUAUAAAAUCCACUUUUGGUCACACGUCACAAUCUGAUUGAGAAAUUUUUCCUUGUUUUUGUGCAG
ensembl:lncRNA